GACGUAGGGGGCCAGCGUUGUUCGGAAUUACUGGGUGUAAAGGGUUCGUAGGCGGUGUGGCAAGUCGGGAGUGAAAUCUCUGGGCUCAACUCAGAGGCUGCUUCCGAAACUGCUGUGCUGGAGUGUGGGAGAGGCGCGUGGAAUUGCAGGUGUAGCGGUGAAAUGCGUAGAUAUCUGCAGGAACACCCGUGGCGAAAGCGGCGCGCUGGACCACUACUGACGCUGAGGAACGAAAGCUAGGGGAGCAAACAGG
rnacentral:rRNA from 1 species